GCCUGAGGAGAAACAGGGCCUGUGAGGGGUGGGAGGAGAGAAGUAAAAGGUUCCUCCCCUGAAGGGAAGAGUGUGGGUGUAAAGGUGACGCUGUCUGAGCAAGUAGGGAAGCUGCUGGUUGAAAAUCUGGGAGAAGAUGCAUGGCCUAGAGGCUGAGUGUUUUCUGCAUGUAUUUUAAGGGAAAAUGGCAGGCAAUUCCAUGCAGAGCUCUGGCUGAGAAACAUCUGCACAGCCUUUGCUCUGCAGAGAGGCUCCUCUGAAGGUGCCCCUUGCACACAAACCAGACCCUGGAUGUUCUCACACUUACGUCAGUUAACGUUGCCUGGUGCUGGAGGUGGCAUUGGGCAUAACCCAGCUUAUUAUGGCUGCUAUAUGGAUUGGCUUUGUGUGAAUGACCAUCUCCAUAUGCUGGCAAUAUCAAAGGUUCCUCUUUCCACCUCUCUUUGGACAGUGAUUGCUUCUCCUCCAUUUCUCCUGCUGUGUGCCAUGUCUUCGUGACAGUUUAAGCAGUAAAAUGGUUUAAUCUCUCUGGAUUGCAACAGCAGAAACCCCUGACAAGGACAGGAGAUUGACAGAAUUUGUAAUAAUAUAUUUUUACUUAUGUCACAUAUUUGUAAUUUCAAGGACGUGAUUCACAAUGACCCUAUUGCAAUGUUGUGUAGGCAUUGUUCUACACUGAUUUGCAUUAAUGUCUACAGAAGAGUUUUUCUCUCUUAGUACUGCUUCAGAGGAUAUGCUUGUCAUUAAAAUUCUGGUCACAGAUGUGGGUUAAAAUAUCUCUAACCUUUACAAAUGUAUUAUGUGGCACUACUGACAUAGCUUUUAUUGCAGAUAAAAUCUAUAACAAAUUCUGUGUGUGACAGGAGAGGAACAUGAGUUUGUAUUAAAUUCAGAUGAUAGAGAUGCAUUCCUUGCUUGUACUUUUAAAAUGUUUUGGAUUUAGUAACAAUGAGUUAGGCUUUCUACUCUGUUGCAUUAGAAAUCCAUUAAAUCUAUUCACUUUGUUUUAGUUUGUUAUUUUGAUAAAUUUUUCUUAAACAGGAUUUCAGAAGAGGACAUAAAAGAGUGGUAAGAAUUCAGCUCAUUUCCAGUCCUGGUUGAGUCGCUCAGAAGUAAACAAGAAAUCAGUUUAUUAGGAUAGACUGCCUAACAUUUAUCAUUGAAAAUUUUUGAUAACCUGCAUUAAAUGCAGCCUGUGAUCCUCUGCUUCUGUUUCCUAACUUAUACUGGUAUUCAUAUACCUAAAAGGGUCAUGUUUACUGGUGGAGAACUGUGUAUCUUGUUUUUUUUUCUUUUUUUGUCAAUGAUUAACUACAAUGUCCUUCCUUUGGGGGAAAAAAAUGGGAAUGGAAGAAUUUAACCAAAGAAUAAAAUUAACUAAUAGUUGUUAUAACA
rnacentral:lncRNA from 1 species